rnacentral:rRNA from 1 species
ACGGAAGUCGUUAUGAUGAUUUCAACACUGACAGAGAACUUGUUCAAAGAAAGUAGAGAUUGACUUAUAACAAUGGCUUUAGUGGCGGACUGGUGAGUAACACGUGAGCAACCUGCCUAUCAGAGGGGAAUAACAGUGAGAAAUCAUUGCUAAUACCGCACAUGCCAUAAAUAUCACAUGAUGAAAGUGGGAAAGGAGUAAUCCGCUGAUAGAUGGGCUCGCGUCUGAUUAGAUAGUUGGUGGGGUAACGGCCUACCAAGUCGACGAUCAGUAGCCGGACUGAGAGGUUGAACGGCCACAUUGGGACUGAGAUACGGCCCAGACUCCUACGGGAGGCAGCAGUCGGGAAUAUUGCGCAAUGGAGGAAACUCUGACGCAGUGACGCCGCGUAUAGGAAGAAGGUUUUCGGAUUGUAAACUAUUGUCGUUAGGGAAGAUACAAGACAGUACCUAAGGAGGAAGCUCCGGCUAACUACGUGCCAGCAGCCGCGGUAAUACGUAGGGAGCAAGCGUUAUCCGGAUUUAUUGGGUGUAAAGGGUGCGUAGACGGGAAAGCAAGUUAGUUGUGAAAUCCCUCGGCUUAACUGAGGAACUGCAACUAAAACUACUUUUCUUGAGUGUUGGAGAGGAAAGUGGAAUUCCUAGUGUAGCGGUGAAAUGCGUAGAUAUUAGGAGGAACACCGGUGGCGAAGGCGACUU